AGGCUGCCAAGUUCGAUAAUAUUGGAAUGCUUCGCCUAUAAAAGAAGUGAGAUCUAAAUAAGUACCAAGUUCCAUACACAGACCUCAGUUAAAAAUGAUAUAACUUGGCAAGUUUUAAUAGAAAAUUAUAUACUUGACUCAUUGCGUUUAGUAGGUUUAUAACAAAGUGUGUGAAAACUUAAAAGUAAAUUAUAUAUUCGUUUCACGCAGCGUGAUUUGAUCAAAAAACUAAUUCGAUAAUAAUUGAUGUACUAAAAUUGAAAUAAUUUGGCCGUAAUAAAUUUUAUUACAUUCAUGUACAUAUUUUACUAAUAUAUAUCAUAAUAAAAAUUAUAUUUUUAAGUACCUACACCCAAUUAUAAUAUUAAGUUAAAACAUAAAUUAUUACGACUAGAUUAUCGUGUGGUGAAACGUAAAAGUCAAUUGACUUUGACAUAAUUGAAUGACACGAUGCGCGCAUUGGAUGCGCGAAAUUGUCUCCUGCUUAAAAUUGUUCAUUAUUAUAAUUCGAUUUUUGUUAUGGAAGAAUAAAAGAAGCGUGGGUCCAAUUAUACGAUCGCUGAAAAUGAUAUCCUUUUAGAGCUGAUCAAGAAAUAUAAUUAUAGUAUAGGGAGCACGGUGACCAACGAUACAAGACACUCCCAUCCCAUCGCCGCCUAUAGUGUUAUAGUUAUAAUAAUAAAACUAUUUUAAUAUGAUUGAA